rnacentral:rRNA from 1 species
GUAGGGAAUUUUCGUCAAUGGGCGCAAGCCUGAACGAGCGAUGCCGCGUGAGUGAAGAAGGCCUUCGGGUCGUAAAGCUCUGUUGCGGGGGAAAAAAGGCAGCAUCAGGAAAUGGGUGCUGACUGAUGGUGCCCCGCCAGAAAGUCACGGCUAACUACGUGCCAGCAGCCGCGGUAAUACGUAGGUGGCGAGCGUUAUCCGGAAUGAUUGGGCGUAAAGGGUGCGCAGGCGGUCCUGCAAGUCUGGAGUGAAACGCAUGAGCUCAACUCAUGCAUGGCUUUGGAAACUGGAGGACUGGAGAGCAGGAGAGGGCGGUGGAACUCCAUGUGUAGCGGUAAAAUGCGUAGAUAUAUGGAAGAACACCAGUGGCGAAGGCGGCCGCCUGGCCUGUUGCUGACGCUGAGGCACGAAAGCGUGGGGAGCAAAUAGG